UACGGGGGGGGUAAGCGUUGUUCGGAAUUACUGGGCGUAAAGGGCUCGUAGGCGGCCAACUAAGUCAGACGUGAAAUCCCUCAGCUUAACUGGGGAACUGCGUCUGAUACUGGAUGGCUUGGAUCCGGGAGAGGGAUGCGGAAUUCCAGGUGUAGCGGUGAAAUGCGUAGAUAUCAGGAGGAACACCGGUGGCGAAGGCGGAUCUCUGGGCCUUACCUGACGCUCAGGCACGAAAGCUAGGGGAGCGAACAGG
rnacentral:rRNA from 1 species